GCGGCGUGCUAAUACAUGCAAGUAGAACGCUGAAGCUUGGUGCUUGCACCGAGCGGAUGAGUUGCGAACGGGUGAGUAACGCGUAGGUAACCUGCCUGGUAGCGGGGGAUAACUAUUGGAAACGAUAGCUAAUACCGCAUAAGAGUAGAUGUUGCAUGACAUUUGCUUAAAAGGUGCAAUUGCAUCACUACCAGAUGGACCUGCGUUGUAUUAGCUAGUUGGUGAGGUAACGGCUCACCAAGGCAACGAUACAUAGCCGACCUGAGAGGGUGAUCGGCCACACUGGGACUGAGACACGGCCCAGACUCCUACGGGAGGCAGCAGUAGGGAAUCUUCGGCAAUGGACGGAAGUCUGACCGAGCAACGCCGCGUGAGUGAAGAAGGUUUUCGGAUCGUAAAGCUCUGUUGUAAGAGAAGAACGAGUGUGAGAGUGGAAAGUUCACACUGUGACGGUAUCUUACCAGAAAGGGACGGCUAACUACGUGCCAGCAGCCGCGGUAAUACGUAGGUCCCGAGCGUUGUCCGGAUUUAUUGGGCGUAAAGCGAGCGCAGGCGGUUAGAUAAGUCUGAAGUUAAAGGCUGUGGCUUAACCAUAGUACGCUUUGGAAACUGUUUAACUUGAGUGCAAGAGGGGAGAGUGGAAUUCCAUGUGUAGCGGUGAAAUGCGUAGAUAUAUGGAGGAACACCGGUGGCGAAAGCGGCUCUCUGGCUUGUAACUGACGCUGAGGCUCGAAAGCGUGGGGAGCAAACAGGAUUAGAUANCCUGGUAGUCCACGCCGUAAACGAUGAAUGCUAGGUGUUGGGAGUCAAAUCUCGGUGCCGAAGUUAACACAUUAAGCAUU
rnacentral:rRNA from 1 species